AGAAGGUCUUCCGGAACGCCGUUUCGGGGGGCCUUUUUCUUUUGC
rnacentral:antisense_RNA from 1 species